rnacentral:rRNA from 1 species
AAUACCCGCGCCCCAAGUGGUGGUCGAUAUUAUUGAGCCUAAAACGUCCGUAGCCGGUCUUCUAAAUCCUUGGGUAAAUCGGGCAGCUCAACUGUCCGAAUUCCGGGGAGACUGGGAGACUUGGGACCGGGAGAGGUCAGAGGUACUUCUGGGGUAGGGGUAAAAUCCUGUAAUCCUGGAAGGACCACCGGUGGCGAAGGCGUCUGACUAGAACGGAUCCGACGGUGAGGGACGAAGCCCUGGGGCGCAAACGGGAUUAGAUACCCCGGUAGUCCAGGGUGUAAACGCUGCGGGCUUGGUGUUGGGGGUCCUUAGUGGGCGCCCAGUGCCGGA